GUGAGGUGCUACAUUUUUCUUGUGAAUCAUAAUGUUCCAUCUAGCUAGCUCUCCUGGUAAUCCUCCUUCAUGCAAUACUUCCGAGUGAUUGUUACUGUAAUAAAAAAAUUAUUGAUAAUUAUAGCACUAAUACCAAAGUUACAAGAAUUCCUAAUUAUGCUGAUGAAGUGUCUGCAUUAUCCAUAAACUAAGAGAGAUACCAUAUAUUUACUUUAAAAGUGAAGUCCAUGUUAAGAAUAGGACAAUAA
rnacentral:misc_RNA from 1 species